CCUCUUGUUGAAAUAGGAGUUUUAAUUUUAUUAGGUCCUAAAUGCUAUGCAUCAGAAACACUCAGAGGGCUUUAUAUUAUGAGCCUUCAUCCCAAAAUGACAAAAUGAGGAUCUUAGGUGGAGGAGUCCAAGAAUCAAUAUUUCUUAAAAAUCCUCAUUUAUUGUCAUCUUUUAGAAUCACUGAUAGAGCUAUGAUAGAGGUAUUUGGUGUGAAUGAUUAAAAGUAAUAUUUAGGACUCUGGGAUUCAGGUAGCACUAUGGAAUGUAUUUAUAUCCAUGCUUCUCCUAUCUUGUCUCCUAAAACUGUAUAAUCAAGAAGAAUGAAUGAAGUACCCACAAUUUAAUUUUUAGGCAAAAUUGUGAGAUAGAGAGUACACCAAAUAAUAAUGGAUGAAAAAUAAAUCGCACCCAAAAUGACUGUGGAAAACCACAAUGGUGUCCAGGUGAAGAAAGCCAAAGGAACCAUGGGUGGCAAGUUGUAUUCUGCAAUUCCCUGUCUCCCAAAUCAAGAAAUAAUUAUUCUCAGAAAGAUGAGACACCCAGAGAGGGAGUUUUUGCAGGCAUAUCUGAGUAUGAAGUGGGCAAGGAAGAGAGGCAAAAAAAAAAAAAAAAAAAAAAAGGUAUGGA